rnacentral:misc_RNA from 1 species
UUCGCAUGCACACAACAACACCGGGCUUGCGUGCAUGAGCAUUCAGAGGCGGGGCACAUAGUGAAUUAUCUUCCAUAUGCAGUACUGCUGUUUAGCAUUGCUGUGAACAAGGAGAGUCAAUGUGUAUUGCAUUGAACCUGGAUGUGUUGCAGCUGCUUCGCAACCUAAGCAUGGAGCUAUUGGCUUUGAAUUGUAUUGUGGAAAUGUAUUACCAACAGACGUGCAGGUGCCAGCCUAUUGACAUAGAGCGUCAAUGAGGGUGAGAAUCCUGUUUGUCAUGUGCAGCCCUUUGUGCACGGUGUAAAUUUGCUGAGUCACACUCCUUGGCGUUGGAAUGCUAAGUCGGUGGUAAGUGUCAUGUAAAGGUAACCAUGCAAUUGGGACUGAUAGCACAGAGUACCAUGAGGGACACUGACAAGGACUGUAACCGAUAAUCAAU